rnacentral:rRNA from 1 species
AACGAACGCUGGCGGCAUGCCUAACACAUGCAAGUCGAACGAGACCUUUGGGUCUAGUGGCGCACGGGUGCGUAACGCGUGGGAAUCUGCCCUUGGGUUCGGAAUAACAGAGAGAAAUUGCUGCUAAUACCGGAUGAUGUCUUCGGACCAAAGAUUUAUCGCCCAGGGAUGAGCCUGCGUAGGAAUAGCUAGUUGGCGGGGUAAUGGCCUACCAAGGCGACGAUCCGUAGCUGGUCUGAGAGGAUGAUCAGCCACACUGGGACUGAGACACGGCCCAGACUCCUACGGGAGGCAGCAGUGGGGAAGAUUGGACAAUGGGCGCAAGCCUGAGCCAGCAAUGCCGCGGGAGUGAUGAAGGCCUUAUGGUUGUAAAGCUCUUUUACCAGGGAGGAUAAUGACAGUACCUGGAGAAUAAGCUCCGGCUAACUCCGUG